rnacentral:tRNA from 1 species
GAUAAAAUGGCUGAGGUUUAAGCAUUAGAUUGUAAAUCUAAUUACGAAUUAUUAUAUUUCUUUUAUUA